rnacentral:rRNA from 14 species
UGAGGAGGAAGACGCAGUGAACUGAAACAUCUAAGUAGCUGCAGGAAGAGAAAGCAAAAGCGAUUGCCUUAGUAGCGGCGAGCGAAACGGCAGGAGGGCAAACCGAAGAGUUUACUCUUCGGGGUUGUAGGACUGCAAUGUGGACUCAAAGAUUAUAGAAGAAUGAUUUGGGAAGAUCAGCCAAAGAG